CCUACGGGAGGCAGCAGUGAGGAAUAUUGGUCAAUGGGCGGGAGCCUGAACCAGCCAAGUCGCGUGAGGGAAGACGGUCCUAUGGAUUGUAAACCUCUUUAGGCGGGGAGCAAUGCCGGGCACGCGUGCCCGGAGGGAGAGUACCCGCAGAAUAAGCAUCGGCUAACUCCGUGCCCGCAGCCGCGGUAAUACGGAGGAUGCGAGCUUUAUCCGGAUUUAUGGGGUUUAAAGGGUGCGUAGGCGGAUUUUUAAGUCAGCGGUAAAAUGUCCGGGCUCAACCCGGGCCGGCCGUUGAAACUGGGGAUCUUGAGUGGGCGAGAAGUAUGCGGAAUGCGUGGUGUAGCGGUGAAAUGCAGAGAUAUCACGCAGAACUCCGAUUGCGAAGGCAGCAUACCGGCGCCCGACUGACGCUGAGGCACGAAAGCGUGGGGAUCGAACAGGAUUAGAUACCCGGGUAGUC
rnacentral:rRNA from 1 species